CCGAGUUUUCAACUCUCAAACCCCUGUGAACAUACCAUUUGUUGCUUCGGCGGGAUCGCCCCGGCUGCCCAGCGCUCCGGAACCAGGCCCCCGCCGCAAGACCCCCAAACUCUGUUUUUAUUCAGUUUCUUCUGAGUGGCUCCUAGAGCAAAAAAUAAAUUA
rnacentral:misc_RNA from 1 species